UACGAAGGGGGCUAGCGUUGCUCGGAAUCACUGGGCGUAAAGGGUGCGUAGGCGGGUCUUUAAGUCAGGGGUGAAAUCCUGGAGCUCAACUCCAGAACUGCCUUCGAUACUGAGGAUCUUGAGUUCGGGAGAGGUGAGUGGAACUGCGAGUGUAGAGGUGAAAUUCGUAGAUAUUCGCAAGAACACCAGUGGCGAAGGCGGCUCACUGGCCCGAUACUGACGCUGAGGCGCGAAAGCGUGGGGAGCAAACAGG
rnacentral:rRNA from 1 species